CAAGCGGUGGAGCAUGUGGUUUAAUUCGAUACUACGCGCAAAACCUUACCAGCCCUUGACAUAUGAACAACAAAACCUGUCCUUAACAGGAUGGUACUGACUUUCAUACAGGUGCUGCAUGGCUGUCGUCAGCUCGUGUCGUGAGAUGUUUGGUCAAGUCCUAUAACGAGCGAAACCCUCGUUUUGUGUUGCUGAGACAUGCGCCUAAGGAGAAAUUGCCACCGAAGUGAGCCGAGGAGCCGAGUGACGUGCCAGCGCUACUACUUGAUUGAGUGCCAGCACGUAGCUGUGCUUUCAGCAAGAAUUUCACCAUUGGGAGCCGGUGCCUUUCGAAGCACUUUCACGUGUGAACCGAAGUCGUCUUGCCCAAGACCCACGGAGACCUACCUAUAGUGACGUCAAAGUACCAGUGAGCAUGGAGGUUUGGUUGAAAUUGGUUACGACGACGUCGAGUUGGCGGCGGAGGAAGACUCGGCAUGAAGGCCAGCCGCCCGGUGGUGUGGUACGUAGUGGUAAUAGUACGCGCCCCGCUCCGAAACAAAGAAAAAGGUGCGUGCCGCACUCACGAGGGACUGCCAGUGAGAUACUGGAGGAAGGUGGGGAUGACGUCAAGUCCGCAUGGCCCUUAUGGGCUGGGCCACACACGUGCUACAAUGGCAAUGACAAUGGGAAGCAAGGCUGUAAGGCGGAGCGAAUCCGGAAAGAUUGCCUCAGUUCGGAUUGUUCUCUGCAACUCGGGAACAUGAAGUUGAAAUCGCUAGUAAUCGCGGAUCAGCAUGCCGCGGUGAAUAUGUACCCGGGCCCUGUACACACCGCCCGUCACACCCUGGGAAUUGGUUUCGCCCGAAGCAUCGGACCAAUGAUCACCCAUGACUUCUGUGUACCACUAGUGCCACAAAGGCCUUUGGUGGUCUUAUUGGCGCAUACCACGGUGGGGUCUUCGACUGGGGUGAAGUCGUAACAAGGUAGCCGUAUCGGGAGGUGCGGCUG
rnacentral:rRNA from 1 species